CUAAUACAUGCAAGUAGAACGCUGAAGGAGGAGCUUGCUCUUCUGGAUGAGUUGCGAACGGGUGAGUAACGCGUAGGUAACCUGCCUGGUAGCGGGGGAUAACUAUUGGAAACGAUAGCUAAUACCGCAUAACAGUAGAUGUUGCAUGACAUUUACUUAAAAGGUGCAAUUGCACCACUACCAGAUGGACCUGCGUUGUAUUAGCUAGUUGGUGGGGUAACGGCUCACCAAGGCGACGAUACAUAGCCGACCUGAGAGGGUGAUCGGCCACACUGGGACUGAGACACGGCCCAGACUCCUACGGGAGGCAGCAGUAGGGAAUCUUCGGCAAUGGACGGAAGUCUGACCGAGCAACGCCGCGUGAGUGAAGAAGGUUUUCGGAUCGUAAAGCUCUGUUGUAAGAGAAGAACGAGUGUGAGAGUGGAAAGUUCACACUGUGACGGUAUCUUACCAGAAAGGGACGGCUAACUACGUGCCAGCAGCCGCGGUAAUACGUAGGUCCCGAGCGUUGUCCGGAUUUAUUGGGCGUAAAGCGAGCGCAGGCGGUUAGAUAAGUCUGAAGUUAAAGGCUGUGGCUUAACCAUAGUACGCUUUGGAAACUGUUUAACUUGAGUGCAAGAGGGGAGAGUGGAAUUCCAUGUGUAGCGGUGAAAUGCGUAGAUAUAUGGAGGAACACCGGUGGCGAAAGCGGCUCUCUGGCUU
rnacentral:rRNA from 1 species